rnacentral:rRNA from 1 species
UACGUAGGUGGCAAGCGUUGUCCGGAAUCACUGGGCGUAAAGCGCGCGCAGGCGGCGAUCUACGUCUGGGGUGAAAGCCCGGAGCUCAACUCCGGGACUGCCUUUGGGUACGGGAUCGCUUGAGGAUUGGAGAGGCAAGGGGAAUUCCACGUGUAGCGGUGAAAUGCGUAGAUAUGUGGAGGAACACCUGUGGCGAAGGCGCCUUGCUGGCCAAUUUCUGACGCUGAGGCGCGAAAGCGUGGGGAGCAAACAGG